AGCAAGAAUAGCACCAAUUUUACCUACAAAGGAGAAUAGGAUUAAAAGUACUGCUCCAAGCUGUACAGCCCUUCGGUUUGCUACUUUCGUUGCAUUGAUCGUGUGUACAUUCUCUGUCAAAGUUGUUGCCCCAGUACCCGUUCCCCAAAGUCCAGCCAAUACACUACAGAAACCUUCCAGACCAAUCCCCCUGCUGACUAUACCUGGGGUUGGGGGUUUCAAAUUGAUUCGUAUUGCGGCGGAGUGAUAACUUCCAAUCGAGUCAAUGGAAGCAACCAGU
rnacentral:misc_RNA from 1 species